CAACUUCUGAAUUCCUGCAUGACAUCAUGAGCCCUGCCUCAAACUUUUGUUAUUUUUUCCUCCACCUUCUUCAAUUGUUCCUACAAACUUGGCGACAGGCAGACAAGUUGCCAGAGAAGUCCAGACAAAGUUUCCCACAGCUCAGAACACAUUAUCUUACAAUUCACUAAUAAUCAUCAUCAGAGGUGGCAGAAACUGAGGACAGGUAGAAAACAAGAACAAGAUGAAAUACAUGCAAAUCCGAAUUUCUUACUACUGCAGCUGAACCAACAGCAGCUACAAUCAAGAAAUCAGUUGCAAGCACAAGAGGUCAGACUAGCGCAGAGUAUGGAUCUUGCUAACAACAGAGGCCUCAACUUGCUACUCAAUUUCCUGCUUAUUGUUAUGGUUCUAGUGCUCAUGUUUAUCCUUGUGAAACUCAUGUGAAUCUCGAGGUUCUGCUUUUUUUGCAAUGAUAACUUAACACUUCAAACUAUCUGAACAUAACAUGUAAAGAUUGCAUAAGAUAGAGAAGUAUAUGAAUAUUACGUGCUCGUGUAUCUACUCUACAGCAAAAUAGCUUAAAAGCAAAACAAUCAACAUACUUGCUGAAGGCUAAGAGGAGUGUAUAGUUCCAUGCUGACGACAAAAGGACACUGUAUCUAAGCACACACAGUAUUCUUGCCGCUGGUAUAAUAAACUCAUUACUUGUAUUUAAACAACUAAGAAUCAAAGGCAGGAGUCUUCUAGGAAUACAAUCUCUGCAAAGAGGAUAAGAGAAAUAAAAAAAAUGGAAUCUCCACGGGGCAGCCUCUCUGAAGAAAACUGAAACACAGGCCUCAAAAGGACAAGAGAGAUGCCUAAAGCUGAUUGAUGGCAAGUAUCAGAUUACAUACGGAAAAGAAAAACAAAGAUGUUGUUGUGGUUAUUUAAAAGCAAAUCCCACCAUCUGGUCACAGGAUCUGUCAUGCAUGUUCAAAUAUAAAAAAAAUUAUUAACUGCAGUUUUUUAAAAGGCACACCAUCCACUGCAGCAUUUGAAAAAAAAAAAUCUCAACAAGCAGUUCUAUUAUGCAUCAAUAUUGACAGAAUUUCACCAAUCACCAGCUGUUAAGCUUAAAAUUUUGAGCAACAACAAGGUAAUAUAAAAUAGAGAACGCUAUCAAGUCUCACUCUACUUCAGUCUCUCUGAAGUUUGCUGAAAGUCUCAUGCAAUAGUAGACGAGACAGCCUGGAUACUUACAAUUAAAGCUUUUCACUGUUGUCUACAAAUGAAGUAUGUGCAACAAAUAUUUAAACAGCCUUUCCAAAAAUCAAAAAGACUUAUAUAGCAGCAAACUGUAAAGUCAAUAGCUAUUCUAUGUUGAUACAGUAUUGUCAAUUUCUAUAUCGAUUGUCAAUGUAUGUUUCAAAGAGGAAAAGUUACCCAGCUGCUUCAUAAUAAGCACUUUAUCACAUUUUGUUUGAUAUUUUGGAGGCUAUUCCGCUUUUAUAAACUAUGCCUGAACAUUCAUAUACAAGGGAUCUAAAUUAUAGCAAAGGGUUGGUUAAUGUUUCAAUUAACCCUUUAGCGUCAAUGAGUAGGCACAUUACCACAACAUGAAGUAAACCAAAUCCAAACAUACAACUGAUCCAAUUUUCUAAUGACAUGCCUAUUCACAGAUAUGCUGCAUAUAUUGCUUUAGAACGUACUGUGUAUAUAAAUAUAUAAACAACUACAGCUAUCUAAGAGUUUGUAUCAAAGAGAGAAUUUGAAAAAAAAAGGAAAAAAUGGUGACUCUAUGGAUUGUAUUAUCUUUCACUUUUAUCUGAAAUCACUUUACAAACAAACAAAGCAUACAAGAAUCUCACCACUCUCCACUAAUGCGUAACUACCUCUGGGGGGGAAUGAAACAACUGUUUAUCCCAGUGACACUACACAAGUUUGAGACAGAUAAUAAAACAUACAGCUUUAACUAGACAGAAUAUAAAUUUGUAUGAGCUACUGGGAGUAAAAACUUCUGCAGCAAACAGAGGCAUAAUAUUUUUACUGAUCAAAAAUGGUCAGGAUUGGAUUAACACAUCAGCCAUCAGCACGUAUUGAAAACCAGUCCCACAUAUUUAUUGUAUUAAGAUGAAUCCCUAGUUGUCAAAUCCCAAGACCACUUACUUCAAAAUGAACAGAAUAUAAAAAUUAACUUCAGUGAGCACAACAAUGAAUAUUAAACUAAAGUGACUGCAGUUUUUAGCAUGAAAAAUUCUCUCUGAAAAUAUCAUUAAUUAAAAAUUUAUAUUUUCUGUGGGGAAAUGCUGAUUUUCAGAAAAAGGAUUUCAAUUUUUUGAUCAAGUGGGACGAAAAUUAAAAUAUUAUGAGUUGACAUUUCAAAAUGAAACUUUCUUCAUUUCAAAAUGUCAGUUUGAAGAGAAUGGUAUCAUUUCAACAUGUCAGAUUGUUUUACUCAUAAAUGCAGACAUUUAGUUGAAUAUUUCCAAUUCACAAGUUGAAAUAUUUUGAUUUGCAAAACCUUGGGAUAUUUUGACUGUCCAUUCUGAUUUGAAAUGCAAACUAAUUUUGAAUUGUCUAAAUUUUCCAAGAGACGAAAAUCUCAUUUCCCGACCAGCUCUAAUAUUAACCUAUGCAUGCUUUAAACAGAGAGGAGGGCUAAGCACCUUGUUAAUGGAAAAUGGCAAAAAGACAAAUUAAGGGGAAAGCCAGACUAUUAAGUAAUUUCCAUCCAGCACAAGUGUAGCCUCCCAGAUGAACUGGUGCAGUAUACUAAACUCAAGUGUAAUCGCAGUAUGAAACAAAACAAAAAACAAACACACACAAAGAGAGCAUGAUACAAUGAGAGCACUGGAGGGAGGAGGGGGUGGCAGGAUGUGUGGUGAGGACAUGGACCUGGCUUCAGCACAGGGUCAGCUUCACUUUACACAGUUGCCCUGGGGAAAGUCCCAGUUUACACAAGGCAGUGAGACCCCACCCAAGAAAUGGUGGGGGAGGGGGCUCCACUCAUCAUCAAAAUCCAGCUGCUCAGAUUGGGGAGAAGGCCAGUAUGAGCCAGCACCCGACCCUGCUGCCCUUAGUGCCUGGAGAACCAACCCCUCCCCAGAGUUUCCUUUGGGCCGCUGUAGCUCUGACCUCUUCGUGCCGUGAUGUGGCCAGGAAUGGUAGCACCAUAAUGCAGGAUUCAGCCUAUGGAGCUGCAUGCAAAGGAGCAAACAUGGCUCCUCCAGUUAUUCCCGCAGGAUGUUUCUGCAUCCUUGGUUUCAAGAUUUCUGUGGGUCCAACUGAACCCAUGAACCCCUGCUAAAGCCACCCUGGCUUCCACCUAUUAUAUCAAUACUAGAGGCAGAUGCAAGUCAGGGUAGUCUAAAGAAGCCUCUUUUCACCAAGCAAGAAAGAGUCCUGUGGCACCUUAAAGACUAACAGAUAUAUUGGAACAUAAGCAUUUGUGGGUGAAUACGCAUGCAUCUGACGAAGUGGGUAUUCACCCACGAAAGCUUAUGCUCCAAUAUAUAUGUUAGUCUUUAAAGUGCCACAGGACUCUGUUGCUUUUUACAGAUCCAGACUAACAUGGCUACUCCUCUGAUUCUUUUCACCAAGUAUACAAACAUGUUCUUCCAAAGACACCUAGAACAUAGUACUAAUACACAGGUGUGCAACCUUCUGAAAUAUUUCUUACUGUAUGUUCUCCUGCAGUUUUCAAGACCAAGUAUUUUCAUUUUAAAUCUUAUUUCUAGUGCUGCUGAACAGCAUUCAGCUCUAUCUCAACAGUAUCAAGGUUUGAGAAACUACUAUUCACAAAUACUCAUAGUCAAACCUUUCACAGCCUUAAGGGGCAUAUUUCUUCACUCCAAAUUCUAUGCCCGGCUUCCAGUUGAAUCAAUGGGAGACUUGGUCGUGCAUCUGAGGCUAAAAUUUUGCCCUAAGAGGUGCCUAAUCCUGCAGCACUUUCCUGUGGAAAAAGUUACCUAAAGAUGGGAUUUCUGUGUGCUGGAACGUUAGGCAUCAGUAGGGAAUAACUAAGUGUAAUGCCUGAUGGCAUGGAAAUAUAGUGUGGAUCUUUCUAGCUCACUAAGAAAACGUUAACCUUAUGUUUAAAAAAAGUCUGCUUCUUGAACAUCUGUUUAUACCUUAAAGGAUUUGAUGAGAGAGAUGCCCUCAGAACAGGACAGGUUGGUGAAGACAACCUCAGGAACGCUCCCAUGCUGUCACUGAGUAUCAGAGAAACACUUAAACUAGUAACCUCCCUUGAAAUUUGUUUCACAAGGCAUGUGUAGAUAUUAUAGCCUGAGGUGAACAUUUUAUAAUCUCUUCAAAGUAAUAUGCAUCUCCUUUGAAAAUCUAAUCUGUUGAUUCACAUCACUUUUAUAUAUAUAUAAAAAGAUGCCUUCCACAUAGCCAGAGGUUGAGUACAGAAUGUGUUUAAUAAGCCAAUUUUUCUGCACACACUUUCUGAUGUAAUGUUCAGGGCAAGUUAUCAUUGUUCUAUCUACGUUCUUAGUCAAAGAUAAAUUUAGUUAUAAUUUUGUGUUGUUUUCUUUAAUGUAGCAACAGCGUAUGUGAGUUAUCUCUGCCUGCUCUAAAAAUCACUGCAUUUCAAUCAGUACACAUACUGUACUUCCAAGCAGAUGGCACAUUUCUUAUUGCACUGUUAAAAGAUUUUCACCAUCAGCAAAAAUGAUCUCUAGUGUCAUGAAAUGAAACUCCUAACUCUGAAAACAAAAAUAAAGUUUAUCAUCCUGUUAUUGCAUUGUACACAGUAUCACUGCUUUACUAUCUUUUUUUUUUAAAAUAAAACUAACUUUUUACAAGAUUUUUAAUUUUUCAGAAACAGUAGCAAAUCAACUUCAGGAGAUUCUGCUGUUUGGACAGUAUUCAAUAUGUAAAAUAGCAUUACAAAUAAAUUUUAUUGCAGAAACAUU